rnacentral:misc_RNA from 1 species
CGUUGCGGUCUUUUCAGACAUAUUCUUUCCAACAAAUAGGCCGGCAUAAUUGCCGGCCUAUUUUACUGGAAAAG